UACAGAGGUCCCAAGCGUUGUUCGGAUUCAUUGGGCGUAAAGGGUGCGUAGGCGGCGCGGUAAGUCGGGUGUGAAAUCUCGGGAGCUUAACUCCGAAACUGCAUUCGAUACUGCCGUGCUUGAGGACUGGAGAGGAGACUGGAAUUUACGGUGUAGCGGUGAAAUGCGUAGAUAUCGUAAGGAAGACCAGUGGCGAAGGCGGGUCUCUGGACAGUUCCUGACGCUGAGGCACGAAAGCGUGGGGAGCAAACAGG
rnacentral:rRNA from 1 species